AAUAUUUGGCAAUAGAGAUUAGUGGAAGAAAAUACCUGGUAUGAUGAUGGAGGAGGAGAAAUGCGAAAGAAGUUUUGGUGUAGGAAAGUUUAUGAGAGCACGAGAGUUCUGGAGAGAAGAGUGAUUGCGUAACAAGUAAGUGAGGAAGAAAUGAGCUUUUAAUUGUUUGAAAGAAGGAGAUGAAGCGACAGAGCUUUCUGACCAUUGAUGUGC
rnacentral:lncRNA from 1 species